AGGAGACUGCCGGUGAUAAACCGGAGGAAGGUGGGGACGACGUCAAGUCAUCAUGGCCCUUACGGGAUGGGCUACACACGUGCUACAAUGGCAGAUACAGAGGUCUCGAUAACCCGCAAGGGG
rnacentral:rRNA from 1 species